rnacentral:rRNA from 1 species
UACGUAGGGUGCGAGCGUUGUCCGGAAUUAUUGGGCGUAAAGAGCUCGUAGGCGGUUUGUCGCGUCGGCCGUGAAAACUUGGGGCUUAACCCCAAGCCUGCGGUCGAUACGGGCAGACUUGAGUUCGGCAGGGGAGACUGGGAAUUCCUGGUGUAGCGGUGAAAUGCGCAGAUAUCGGGAGGAACACCCGUAGCGAAGGCGGCACUCUGGGCCGGUACUGACGCUGAGGAGCGAAAGCGUGGGGAGCAAACAGG